rnacentral:lncRNA from 1 species
GCCUGCCUCUGCUGCCACUUGCUUUUGGAAUUGGUUGCAUCAGACUGGCUUGGGUUUGGGUGUUUAGAAACAGGUUUAAUUACGUACCCCAGACUAGCGUCCAGCUCUGGCUUCUCCUGCCUCAGCCGCUCACAUGCUGCGAUUACACGCCUAGCUUGCUGUUGUAAACAUUGUUUCUCUUUCUCCAGAACUCUUUAAACCAAAACAGCCACACUUCUUUCUUUAGCUAUUGAGAAACAUCCAGGAGAUGAGAGCAUUCAAUCUCACCAUUUAGCAUUGAGAGCACAAGACGCCAGAGACGAUCAGAAUCUCCAGAUUCCAGGAAGAGGCGCAUCCAUAGAUGUGACUUCGAGGGGUGCAACAAAGUAUACACAAAAAGUUCUCACCUGAAGGCACACCGGAGAACACAUACAGAGAAUGGGGAUGGAGCAAAAACCAGUUCUCUGAUCCCAAGAGACCACUCUAGGCUGUGCAGGCACAGCCUCUUAAAACGACAGUCAAGUGGCAUUAUUGUCAAAUAGAAAAAUAAAAAGAAUAAAAUUUGGUUAACUUGUUGU